rnacentral:rRNA from 1 species
AACGAACGCUGGCGGCAUGCCUAACACAUGCAAGUCGAACGAUACCUUCGGGUCUAGUGGCGCACGGGUGCGUAACGCGUGGGAACCUGCCCUUAGGUGCGGAAUAACUCCCCGAAAGGGGUUCUAAUACCGGAUAAUUUCUUCGGACCAAAGAUCUAUCGCCUUUGGAUGGGCCCGCGUUGGAUUCGCUAGUUGGUAGGGUAAAAGCCUACCAAGGCGACGAUCCAUAGCUGGUCAGAGAGGAUGAUCAGCCACACUGGGACUGAGACACGGCCCAGACUCCUACGGGAGGCAGCAGUGGGGAAUAUUGGACAAUGGGCGAAAGCCUGAUCCAGCAAUGCCGCGUGAGUGAUGAAGGCCUUAGGGUUGUAAAGCUCUUUUACCCGGGAUGAUAAUGACAGUACCGGGAGAAUAAGCUCCGGCUAACUCCGUG